GGGCCGUUAGCUCAGCUGGUUAGAGCGCAUGCUUCACACGCAUGAGGUCGGCAGUUCGAGUCUGCCACGGCCCACCA
rnacentral:tRNA from 1 species